GUGUUCGUAGAAAGGAGUGAUAGUUAGCAUCUCCUCAGACAGGGACGGGAACAGCCUUUAGGCUUAACCUGUUACCACACACAUCUGGUUAAGGCUACUCACUUCGGUGGAUCUUACCUAAUUCUUUU